AGCAUAGGACAGGCCCCAGAUCAUGGCAGAGAUUACAGUCACACAAAAAAGCUAGGAUUUAGAAUGAAAACUAUAGGCAGAGCAAGCAAAAGGAAACCUUUUCCUUCAUAAUAUAGCUGUCAGCAUUUUGUUCAACAUAUUAUAAGGAAUCAAAACCUUACAUAACCAUUUGCUAAAUGGUACCUGAAGUGAAUUUUGAGAAAUUUUACACAGAGGCAGAAAAAUUGAUAUAGUUUGGCGCUGUGUCCCCAACCAAAUCUCACCUUGAAUUGUAAUCCCCAUGUGUCAAGAGAGUGACCUGGUGGGAGGUGAUAGGAUCAUGUGGGUUAUCUUCCCCAUGCUCUUCUCAUGAUAGUGAGUUCUCACUAGAUCUGAUGCGUUAAAGUAUUUGGCAGUUCCUCCCUACCUCUCUCUCUCUCCUGCCACUUUGUGAAGAAGGCGCUUACUUUUCGAUUGCCUUCCACCAUGAUUUUAAGUUUUCUGAGGCCUUCCCAGCCCUGUGGAACUGUGAGUCAACUGAAUCUCUUUCCUUUAUAAAUUACCCAGUCUCAGGGAAGUUCUUUAUAGCAGUGUGAAAAGAAACUAAUACAAUAAUCUACACAUGGUAUCAAAAGUCUUGAUACAAAAAUGUUACAAACUAAACACAGACCCCUUAGUCAUAGUUGCAUGAUAUCUUUAAUUUGGAGAAAACAAAAAUUGUCUCCAAACUCUAGGGUAAAUACACAUACAUCUACAUUUUAUUCAAUAGAAUGCAAGGGAUAAAAGGAUUGCCCUUUCCAGAAGUCUUGCCUUUGCUCCCAGGGUCACGUGUUGGAAGGGUCUUGGAGAGGUUAUGGAGUAUACUCUGAAGUAUAACAAUGAAGUCACAAAUAUGGUGGACAUACUGUGAUUUAUAUAAUGAGAUUCCUUUCAAGAAAAGCAAUCACAUGUCAAGAAGAGUGAAUUCACUAGAUCCUUCUCUCUAAUAGCUAUGUUUUGUGGACAUCAAAACAGUGACACUAAGGCAGCAGAUGCAGAGGCAGAGGUGGGAAAUUAUAAUGAAGAAAAUCACAGGACUUUACAGAAAGUAUAAGAAGGCUUUGGCUUUAAGGGAAGGAGAUCCAGACAAACAUCCAUCCACCUCUCAUUCCAGAGUUCUGGUUCCAUCAUUCUCAACAAAUCUGUAAGAGUCUACAUAGUAUCUGAAUUAAGGAACCUCUACACAGAUUAAGUGGGUUCAAUCAACUAGAAUAAAGAUUCUAGUGCCUAGAGUAAGUCAAUGAGCUAUGUAAUGGACUUUCCAGUUUUCUCUUUUUAAAAAAUCUGAUUUUGCUUGCUUUUACACUGUCAUUUUAAAUUUCAGGACACCUACAUGCCUAUACAGGCAAAAACGAUAGUUAUAGAGGAGAUUUAGCAUUAAUGUAAAACCCAAGGGUAUUUCGUCUUUCAAUAUUUUGGUUGUAUUUCCUGGUUAAGCAGUUUUCUGCUUUCUUUUUACCUUAACCCCAUCAUAUAGGAUAUUUCCAGCUGGUCUUUUUCUAUUUUCCUGUGCAGAGGAGCAUAGCAAAAAUAGCAAGACAGGGUAGAUUAAAGAAUUAUUUUAAUAAACAUCUAUUCGUAGAUACUACUAGCAUUAAUGGCAGACACUAAGUGAUAUGAUUUGAAUAUUUAUCCCCUCCAGAUCUCAUGAUGAAAUUUGAUCCCCGAUGUGUGAGGGUAGAUCUGAUGGGACGUGUUUGGAUCAUGGUGACAGAUCCCUCAUGAAGGGCUUUGUACCAUUCUCCUGGGAUUGAAUGAAUUCUAACGCUUAGUUCCUGUGAAAUCUUGUUGUUAAAAAGAUUCUACCACCUAUCACUGUGACAAGCCUCCUCCCUCUUUGCCUUCUGUCAUGAUUGGAAGCUUUCUGAGGCCUUUACCAGAAGCAGAUGCUGGUGCAAUUCUUUUAGUACAGUCUGCAAAACUGUGAGCCAAAAAAAAAAAAAAAAA
rnacentral:lncRNA from 1 species